AAGUAUAACUGACAUAUGAUAGUUUUAUCUUAUUUACAGCCUAGACAUUGAUAGCCUGAGUGUGCUUGUCGGACAUUUUCCGAGUAUGAUGUCCUGUUCCUACAUUAAGGUAGGUACUGAAGAAAGAUAUGCUUUCUCACUUGCUAAUGUCAAUUUGAUUUAGACCAACGGUAACCCUGUACAUGACCGGACAUUAAUAUGUGUUCCAUGGUAGAGUGCAUAUCCAUUUCCAUAGUGCAGUUGAAGUGUGGUUCACUUAUUGGCUAACCACUGACAAAAAAAACUUUUCUCGAGCCAAAUCAAGUCCACCGAGCCAUUCUUUUUGCCAUUUCUGUCAAGCCAAAGCAGGUCCCUUGACCUACUGGGUGCACGUCAGACAUUUUUUAUAUGGAAAUCGUACUCGGUAUUUUAUUGUGUAGUGCUGCAGAAUUAUAGACUUGUCUGCUUUAUGUAAUUUGCCGCCUUCUUAGAGAUCACUAAAUAAUUUGCUCUCGUGCCUACAGAUCAUCAACAUCUUCCUUUUUUCCAGUGCAUUUGGAUUAUUCCAUCAAUGAGGAAACUCAUGGCAUGAUCGAUCAAGUGGACGCGGGAUUCUAUUUCUUAAAGUACUAAUUAAGAUUCGUGUGCUGGUUAUUUUUAUAGAUGUAUGCAAGUCGUUCUUUCUAAUGGAAAUCACUGCGCUUAAUGUCUUUGCUGCAAGUUGAUGGGAUGUAUUUUCAAAGAAGUGAAGCAGGCCUAUAAAUUUGCCGAAGAACAUCUUGAAAAUGGACCAACUGGCGGUCGAACCAUUCUUCUGUCGCUGACCAUCCAGACUCAUUUCAUAAGCAUUAUAUGGGUUGACAUUAUCAUCAUUCGCACUAGAACCUUUCUUCUUGGAUUGCGAUUUUGAUUAUGAGCUUGCAGAUGAGAAUACAAUUCUGAUGACGGAGCUCAAUAGUGAAGAAAGGAAAGCAAUAUU